UACAGAGGAGCCAAGCGUUGUCCGGAUUGACUGGGCGUAAAGCGCACGCAGGCGGUCGCGCGCGUGGGGUGUGAAAUCUGGCCGCUUAACGGCCAGGCGCCAUCCCAUACGGCGCGACUGGAGUGAUGCAGAGGUCGGUGGAAUUGCCGGUGUAGUGGUGAAAUACGUAGAGAUCGGCAGGAACACCCAGGGGGAAACCAGCCGACUGGGCAUCUACUGACGCUGAGGUGCGAGAGCGUGGGGAGCGAACCGG
rnacentral:rRNA from 1 species